rnacentral:rRNA from 1 species
AGAGCAUAAGGUGGAUGCCUAGGCACUAGGAGCCGAUGAAGGACGUGACGAACUACGAAAAGCCUCGGGGAGCAGUAAGUACGCAGAGAUCCGGGGAUAUCCGAAUGGGGCAACCCAGCAGUUGAAGACUGCUACGAAAGAGGGAACGCAGCGAAUUGAAACAUCUUAGUAGCUGUAGGAAAAGAAAGCAAAAGCGAUUCUGCUAGUAGCGGCGAGCGAAAGCGGAACAGCCCAGUUACCACAUAGAGUUACAAAACCACAUGAUAGAGGAAAGGUAUUGGAAAAGCCUGCCAAAGAGGGUGAAAGCCCCGUAAUCGAAAUUGUGUGGACUCUGGUAACGAAGAGUACGGCGAGACAAGUGGAAUCUUGUCGGAAAAAGGGAGGACCAUCUCCCAAGGCUAAAUACUCCCUAGUGACCGAUAGUGAACCAGUACCGUGAGGGAAAGGUGAAAAGAACCCCGGGAGGGGAGUGAAAGAGAACCUGAAACCCUAUGCUUACAACAAGUCAGAGCCCGUUAAUGGGUGAUGGCGUGCCUUUUGUAGAAUGAACCGGCGAGUUAUGUUAUUGUGCGAGGUUAAGGUUGAAGGACCGGAGCCGAAGCGAAAGCGAGUCUGAAUAGGGCGACAUAGUACAAUGAUAUAGACCCGAAACGGGACGAGCUAGAUAUGAGCAGGUUGAAGUUGGAGUAACAUCUAAUGGAGGACCGAACCGUAGUCCGUUGAAAAGGGCCCGGAUGACUUGUGUCUAGGGGAGAAAUUCCAAUCGAGUUCCGAGAUAGCUGGUUCUCACCGAAAUAGCUUUAGGGCUAGCGUCGAGAAAAGAGUUUAUUGGGGGUAAAGCACUGAAUGUCUGAUGGCCUCAUCUAGGGGUACUGAAUACAAUCAAACUCUGAAUACCAAUAAACACGCUCGGCAGUCAGACUACGGGUGAUAAGGUUCGUGGUCAAGAGGGAAACAGCCCAGAUCGCCAGUUAAGGUCCCAAAAUUUAUGCUAAGUGGGAAAGGAUGUAGUUCCGUAUAGACAGCUAGGAGGUUGGCUUAGAAGCAGCCAUCCUUUAAAGAGUGCGUAACAGCUCACUAGUCGAAUAGAACCGCGCCGAAAAUGUACCGGGGCUAAGCAUAAUACCGAAACUGCGGAAUUAGAGUAAUCUAAUUGGUAGGUGAGCGUUCCAAGGGCAUCGAAGGUAGACCGAGAGGACUACUGGAGCGCUUGGAAGUGAGAAUGCCGGUAUGAGUAACGAAAAGUUGGGUGAGAAUCCCAACCGUCAAAAGUCCAAGGUUUCCAGGGGAAGGUUCGUCCGCCCUGGGUUAGUCAGGUCCUAAGGUGAGGCUGAAAAGCGUAGCUGAUGGACAACAGGUUGAUAUUCCUGUACUACUUGUUUGACUGAAGGAGUGACGGAGAAAGAUAGUUUGGGCCAACGAAUGGAUGUUGGUUGAAGGUAACGAGGCUGUGGUGUAGGCAAAUCCGCAUCACACGAGGCUGAGUACUGAUAACGUAAGUCAGAUGAAUCUAUGCUUCCAAGAAAAGCUUCUAGGGAUAAUCAAACAAGUACCUGUACCGCAAACCGACACAGGUGGACGAGGAGAGAAUCUAAAGACGCGCGAGAUAACCCUUGUUAAGGAACUCGGCAAAUUUACCCCGUAAGUUCGCGAUAAGGGGAGCUUUAAGUAAUUAAAGCCGCAGAGAAGCGGCCCAAGCAACUGUUUACCAAAAACACAGGUCUCUGCUAAACCGCAAGGUGACGUAUAGGGGCUGACACCUGCCCAGUGCUGGAAGGUUAAGAGGAGAAGUUAGCGCAAGCGAAGCUUUGAAUUGAAGCCCCAGUGAACGGCGGCCGUAACUAUAACGGUCCUAAGGUAGCGAAAUUCCUUGACAGGUAAGUUCUGUCCCGCACGAAUGGUGUAAUGACUUGGGCACUGUCUCAACAAGGGACUCGGUGAAAUUUUAGUACCUGUGAAGAUGCAGGUUACCCGCGACUAGACGGAAAGACCCCAUGGAGCUUUACUGUAGCUUGAUAUUGAUAUUCGGUCAUUAAUGUACAGGAUAGGUGGGAGACUAUGAAGCCGGGACCUCAGUUUCGGUGGAGUCGACGUUGGGAUACCACCCUUUGGUUAUUGAGUAUCUAACUCGCUGGUGUGGAACCAGGAGGACAGUGUCUGGUGGUCAGUUUGACUGGGGCGGUCGCCUCCCAAAGAGUAACGGAGGCGCACAAAGGUUAGCUCAGAAUGGUUGGGAAUCAUUCGUAGAGUGUAAUGGCAGAAGCUAGCUUGACUGCGAGUCGUACAUGACGAGCAGAGACGAAAGUCGGUCAUAGUGAACUGGCGAUUCCGAAUGGAAGGGUCGUCAAUCAACGGAUAAAAGUUACCCUGGGGAUAACAGGCUGAUGACUUCCAAGAGUACACAUCGACGAAGUCGUUUGGCACCUCGAUGUCGGCUCAUCGCAUCCUGGAGCUGGAGUCGGUUCCAAGGGUUGGGCUGUUCGCCCAUUAAAGCGGUACGUGAGCUGGGUUCAGAACGUCGUGAGACAGUUCGGUCCCUAUCUGUCGCGGGCGUUGGAAAUUUGAAGGGAGCUGUCCUUAGUACGAGAGGACCGGGAUGGACAUACCACUGGUGCACCAGUUGGCUCGCCAGAGCCACAGCUGGGUAGCUACGUAUGGAAGGGAUAAACGCUGAAAGCAUCUAAGCGUGAAGCCCCCCCUAAGAUGAGAUUUCCCAUUCGCUUGA